AUUCCAGCUCCAAUAGCGUAUAUUUAAGUUGUUGCAGUUAAAAAGCUCGUAGUUGGAUUUCGGAUGGGAUCGGCCGGUCCGUCGUUACGAUGUGCACUGGCAAGUCCUAUCUUGUUGUCGGGGACUAGCUCCUGGGCUUCACUGUCCGGGACUAGGAGCCGACGAAGUUACUUUGAGUAAAUUAGAGUGUUCAAAGCAAGCCUACGCUCUGAAUAUAUUAGCAUGGAAUAACACGAUAGGACUCUGGCUUAUCUUGUUGGUCUGUGAGACCAGAGUAAUGAUUAAGAGGGACAGUCGGGGACAUUCGUAUUUCAUUGUCAGAGGUGAAAUUCUUGGAUUUAUGAAAGACGAACUUCUGCGAAAGCAUUUGUCAAGGAUGUUUUCAUCA
rnacentral:rRNA from 1 species